UACAGAGGGGGCAAGCGUUAAUCGGAAUUACUGGGCGUAAAGGGUGUGUAGGUGGUUCGGUAAGUUAGAUGUGAAAUCCCAGGGCUUAACCCGGAAACUGCCAUUGAUACUAUUUGUCUUGAAUACUGUGGAGGUCAGCGGAAUAUGUCAUGUAGCGGUGAAAUGCUUAGAUAUGACAUAGAACACCAAUUGCGAAGGCAGCUGGCUACACAAAUAUUGACACUGAGGCACGAAAGCGUGGGGAGCAAACAGG
rnacentral:rRNA from 1 species